UGCUAGUUCACUGGUCUUUUUGUUUAACCAUUUCUUGGUUAAAGGAAGAAAAAGAAAAAGACAAGAAGCCUGACUCCUUCGGCCUUCUGACUUUUGGAUGUCCUAAAAAAGAGAAAGAUCAGAGUUGUUUAGACUAAUCAUUGGUUAACAUCUAUAAACCAAUGCCAUGGUGCAUGGGGUUUUUUUUUAUUUUUAAAGCAGGAGUGCAUGGGACUGAAAUGUACAAUGCAUCUCUUGAAUUUUUGGGGGAAUGCAUGGGAACUGUUAUACAUGUUUUGUUGAGUUCUUUUGAAAUGCUUUGUUUUGUAUGGUAAAACUCUCUUUAAAAUGAUGCUGAGUUAAGAAAAAAAGAAAGAAAAAGGAUUGCGAGUUAUGAUUUCCUGAGAUA